ACCAUUACCCAAUAUGACUUUUCUCGAGUCAUCUAGGUAAUAGAGGUGUAAAUAAUUAGUAGAAUGUGGAUUAUUUAUUAACGUAAUUUUUUUCUUCAGUAUCAGUGGGCUACCAAAUAUAAGAUUUUUGUGGAUUAAAGAAGGUUCAGUCCAUACUACCUAGGUUCCGAAUGAAUGUACAGUUAUGUCUAGCAUCAAUACAUUGUGUUCCAAGUUGUUGCUUGUAACAGAACCUGACUAGUUUCAACUGUUAACUGUGGUACAGAGUAGGGUAACAGCCUGGCUUUUUAGCACUAUUUAUCUGACUUUAUGUGUCUACUUUUAAAAUGCGUAGUACUAUAUUUUAAUUUGCCUUCCAAAUGGUUUAAACUAAACCUGGACACUUUAUGGCCCUUGGCCUUUUGGUUCUCCCUGUCCAGUCCGCCUGAGGUCAGUUGGAAAUUAAAAAUCAAAUGUAAAUAAGGGUGCCGCAGGGAGCAGCAGAAGAAGCCAAGUUGGGUCUGGCUCUGCGCAGUUGCCGUGCACUCCUUCAGCGUGUUGGCAGGCAUGAAAGGGCGAAGAGACAAAUCACUCUUCUGCACCUGUGUAGUGCUCAUCUCUCACCUGGAGCAGCCAGAGUAGUUAAGGUAACAAAGUUUGAGUACAUCAAAUCUGGUUACACUGGUACACCCCUCCACAACAGUUCCAGUUUUUCAUGUGGCUCCUUUGGAAAAUACAUUGUCCAUACCUGAUUUAAACUAUAAUUUUCAUCAGCAAGGGUAGUGGUCAGUCCUUUACAGCUCCAAUUCCAAACAUCUGGUGCAACCCAAAUUAUAGUGACUUUGGUUGGAAACAGUGUAAUCUGAAGAAACCUGAAGUGAAGGCAACUUAGUAGAAUGUGCUAGGCUACAAGAAAAAAAGACACUUGGGUUUGCUUGAAUGAACCCUGAAUAAUGCAAAGUGAGGAAGAAUAAAACAUCUUAAAGAGGAUAUUACACAGGAAGUCAUGGUGGAAAGAGCAGGAACUGUUACUGGACAAGUUAACUUUCUAGCCAAUAACUAUGUGAACAUGGCAAAUAAAAAGCUAAGAAGAGCAGGUUUACCUCAAGAUCUUUGUGAUAGACUAAGUCGACAUCAGAUUAUUACUUGCCGGGACUUCUUAUGUCUUUCCUUCCUGGAAUUAAUGAAAAUAACUGGACAGAGUUACUGGAGUGUCCAGAAACUUUUUCGGACUGUCAGCCAAUCCUGUGCUCCCAGAAUGCAAACGGCUUAUGAAAUGAAAAUGAAAAGAACCACCAAUCCUUCAACAGCAUUUUUGUCAACAACGCUAGAAGAUCUGGAUAAAAUAUUGCAUGGUGGAAUUGCCUGUGAUAGUCUUACAGAGAUAACGGGUCCAUCAGGUUGUGGUAAAACUCAGUUGUGUAUUAUGAUGAGCUUGCUGGCCACACUGCCCACUAACAUGGGAGGCUUGGACGGGGCAGUUAUUUACAUUGAUACAGAAUCUGCAUUCACUGCUGAAAGGCUGGUUGAAAUAGCUCAGCAUCGAUUCCCACAUUAUUUUGCUACAGAAGAAAAGCUGAUUGCAAUGACAAACAAGGUUCUUGUCUAUCAGGAGCUAACCUGUGAUAGCGUACUAAAAAGAAUUAAAUCUUUGGAAGAAGAAAUAAUUUCUAAGAAUGUUAAGCUAAUAAUAGUUGACUCAGUUGCUUCAGUAAUCAGAAAAGAAUUUGAUACAAAGCGUCAAGGUAACCUGAAGGAACGAAGCAAUUUAUUGAGUAAGGAGGCUUCAAUAUUGAAAUACUUGGCUGAAGAGUUUUCAAUACCAGUAAUCUUGACGAAUCAGAUUACCACAUGGCUAAGUGAUGGCCUUGCUGUACAGGCAGACCUCCUGUCUCCAGUUGAUGACUCGUCCCUGUCUGAAGUGCUUCAUUUACAUGCAUUUCUUCUUCGGGCUGGACUCCUGAUGACUUCAUGACCAUAUCCAUGUAGUUUUAUUAACAAUAAUACAAUACUGAAGUGAUUUGCAAUUGUCUUCCUCCAUGCUUAGUUUCUUAAAGUAGUCAAGGGACUACUGAAUGACCAUUGAUAAGACCAUCCUUCACCAUGGUAUUUGAUAUCAUCAAUAUGCUGAUGAUAUUUAACUUUGUAUCUCCACCUCUGGUGAUCCAAAUGAUGCUGUGACUGCCCUCUCAUGGUACUUGGUGGCUGGUGAGGGCCUGGAUUAGGGACAACAAGCUUUGGCUGGCAAGACCGAAUGGCUUUGGGUGCAUGAAGCUUCAAGAUCUGGGGUUUUAACAUCUUUAGCUCUGGAUGGGAUGGCAUUACCUCAGACAGACACGGUCUACAGUUUGAAGAUUCUCCUGGACUCAUGAUUUCUGCUCAAAGAGCAGGUGGCAGUCGUGGCUUAGGAGAGCAUUUGCACUUUGUCUUGUGCACCAGCUGCGGUCUUUUCUGGAUCAGGAGUCCCUGCGCCCAGUCAUUCAAGCCCUAGUCAUCUUACAGUUGGACUACUGCAAUGUGCUCUAAAUGGGGCUACCUUAAAGAGCAAUUGGAAGCUAUAGCUGAUGCAGCACAGGGACUUCUUAGGACCUAUUACAUCACUAUUCCAUGAGCUGCACUGGUUGUUGGUUUACUUUCAGGUGCAAUACAAGGUGCUUGGUUAUUACCUUUAAAGCCCUACAUGGUCCAGGUUACUUGAGGAACCAUCUCACCCUGGUGGGACUGGCCCACCCCACAUGCAUCUGUAGAGGGGGCAUACUGCAAAUCCUACCAGUCAAGGAAUUUCAGCUGGGGGGUGGUGUCCAGGAGAAGAGCCUUCUCUGCCAUGGCUCCUGCACUUCGGAAUAUCUUAUCCCCAAAAGUGAGAUCAGCUUCUACUCAUCUGACUUUCCAUAAGAGCCUUAAGACCUAGUUCUGACAGAUGACUUGGGGCCUCAGUUGGGGGAGUUUUAAACUGGAGCUGAUUGAUUAAGUAAGAGCCAAUCCCACCUCGCCCCCUGCAUCUGGCUGUUUCCUUCUCCAACUUGUGUCAAUGAUUUAAUUCUGGUGGUACUGGGAUUUUAUUGGAUGUAUAUUUAUAUUUGAUGAUUUUGAUGGUUUUUAUGAUGAAAGCUGCCCAUGGGUGCUUUGAAACAAGAUGGGUGGCAAAUAAAUUUAAUAAAUAAAUAAAUUUUGUCUGUAGGUAUUCAUAAUGGCAACUCCUCUAAGUAGAUGGGAUGCAUAGUAAAUUAACUUUUUGUCCAAUUAAAAAAUUCAUGUCCAACUUGCACUUUGGGAUUACAGGUUAAGUGUAUCGUACCUUUGUGGAUAAUACCUCCCAAAAUGUGCAUUUCUUCCUGAGCACAGCUAUUGCAAUGCUAAAAUCAAAAGCUUGACAAGAAGGCUAGUGUAUCUGGUAAAAAGAUUAAGUUUUCUCUCACUACACCUUCACCCCUCUCCCCGGAAGUGUAGUAUUCAUAUUAAAUAUUUAUUGUUUAGUGAAACGGAAGAAUAAACUUUUAACAAUAUUGAAAUUAUUUUUGCAGCUAUAUGAACAAAUGUACAUCACAUGAUUAUUUGUCAUUUGUUUACUUAUUCUUGUAAUUGAACUAAGUGGAAAAGCUUGUGAAUUGUGGUGGUUUGAAAAAUCUGAGGGGUUUCAAAAGGGGAAAGUGUGGUUAGGAGUAUUUGAGAAAGAUUCAACAAGUGGUACAAGAGGAGGCCGUUGAUAUACUAUCCAGUAGAAUCAGUGGAGGGAUUCAGAUACGUGAACAACCAGUUCUCUGUGUGGAUGCCGCUUCCGGAAGUCCAUUCUGAGCCUGGGCAACAAAAAAUUAGCUACCGGUUCUGCCGAAGUGGUGCGAACCAGCUGAAUCCCACCAUUGAGUGGACUACAAAAAGCUAGGCUGACUCGCUUUCUCCAAUUGUCUACCUGGUUACACUUUCCCUUUCAUAUUGGAUUUUCCCUCAGGAAAGCAAGGAGUGAGGCUGUAUUUGCUCACCUGCUUCAGGCACAAUUUUUUUUUUUAACUAGACCCCAUAAGAAAUUGUUGGAUUAUUAAACUAGGGAUGAUAUUUGAAGAAUUUUGCGGUGGCAUCAGACUGCUUCUGUGGGAAACAGGGUGCUAGACUAAAUAGAUGCUUUGUCUGAUUCAAGACGGCUCUUCUUAAUCUUUAUCAAUAAAUAAAGCAACUAUUUCAUUAAUUCAGAAUUAAGCGGUCAAACCACAUAAUGUAAUUUAAAUCUGUACUGCUUCAAUGCAUUUGGAUGAUGUCACCCAAAGUUUUUAGAACUUUUCCAAUCCAUGUUAAGAUCUCUGCAGAAAGAUUGCCUUGAAAGACGUAAUGACAAUGAAAGCUUUGCAAGUUUCUGCUAAAGUGGUUUUGUAUUAAUGGCUAUUGCAUACAAUUUAAUACAACAAAAAGGAACGAGAAAUAUUUUUUUAAUUGGAACAAAAAUGGGAAAACUAAAUUCUUCAAAGGCUGGAUUAGAAGUGUUAUGAUUCAUAAGCAUGAAAAACUAUUUCUCUGAUCCAUGUUUUUACCAAAACAGUGGUGUUAUUACUAAUAUUAGAUUUGUAAUUAUAAUGAGAAAAAUUAUGUGUAUGAGUACUAACUCCGAUUUUUCUGAUUUACCUAUUACUUUAUUUUCACCAUUAUUUUUAUAUUAUCAUCUAUGUGCUGUGUUUUUGUGGAGUAAGUAUUUCAUAUAAGUUAUUUUUGUAUGAAUGGUAUUCUAUUUGAAUGUAAUAUUUAAACUUGCAUUUCUAAAUGUAAUUGUCCUGAAUUGAGAAACAAAAUGUAAACGCUGAUGUUUUUUAAUGUUAUAUUUUUAUAUAUAUAGACAGUUGGUUCCUCUGCUUCCUACUUUCUUAGAGUAUUUAUUCUUUUCUGGAAGAGGAAAAGGAGAGUUUUGAACACAUAAUUUUUUCCCAUGAAUUAAAUGGCACAAGCUAUUUGAUUCUGAUCUACAUUGGGACAUACAGUAUAUUAAUUUAAUUAAUGAAAUUUAUAUGUUGCCUAACUUCCAACCACUCUCUAACAAGAAGCUGUUUUAUAUGUCACUC